GGCAUAUUGAUUUUUGAGUGCUUUUUUAUGGAAUUUUUAUUGUAAAUUGAGUGCCUUUUAUAUUAUUUCAUUUCUUGUGCCAACUGAUUAUUUUUUAUAGCAAAGAAAGGUCUCAACUUCAGAACUUUCUUUUAGCCUUUACGAAACCUUUUCAGAAUUUUGUCAACUUUAACAGAAGAUAUACAUUUGUUGGAAUAUCACUUAUGGUAACAAGUCCUACAUCGAUAAUGUACAAGAAAAUUAAAGGGCUUAGGCUAUUUUGGUGAUAGGGAGCCUAGUUUCAAGCCCACUUCAACUUGUAGCUUGCCAAUUUGAUAUU
rnacentral:misc_RNA from 1 species